rnacentral:rRNA from 1 species
UACGUAGGGUGCGAGCGUUAAUCGGAAUUACUGGGCGUAAAGCGUGCGCAGGCGGCGCCGCAAGUCAGGCGUGAAAUCCCCGAGCUUAACUUGGGAAUGGCGCUUGAAACUACGGUGCUGGAGUGUGGCAGAGGGAGGUGGAAUUCCACGUGUAGCGGUGAAAUGCGUAGAGAUGUGGAGGAACACCAAUGGCGAAGGCAGCCUUCUGGGCCAACACUGACGCUCAUGCACGAAAGCGUGGGGAGCAAACAGG